rnacentral:rRNA from 1 species
UGAGGAAUAUUGGUCAAUGGGCGAGAGCCUGAACCAGCCAAGUAGCGUGAAGGAUGAAGGUCCUAUGGAUUGUAAACUUCUUUUAUAGUAGAAUAAAGUGAGCCACGUGUGGUUUUUUGUAUGUAUACUAUGAAUAAGGAUCGGCUAACUCCGUGCCAGCAGCCGCGGUAAUACGGAGGAUCCGAGCGUUAUCCGGAUUUAUUGGGUUUAAAGGGUGCGUAGGCGGAAUAAUAAGUCAGUUGUGAAAGUUUGCGGCUCAACCGUAAAAUUGCAGUUGAUACUGUUAUUCUUGAGUGUACAUAAGGUAGGCGGAAUUCGUGGUGUAGCGGUGAAAUGCUUAGAUAUCACGAAGAACUCCAAUUGCGAAGGCAGCUUACCGGGGUACAACUGACGCUGAGGCACGAAAGUGUGGGUAUCAAACA